rnacentral:rRNA from 1 species
AGUGAACGCUGGCGGUAGGCCUAACACAUGCAAGUCGAACGGCAGCACAGCAAGAGCUUGCUCUUACGGGUGGCGAGUGGCGGACGGGUGAGGAAUACAUCGGAAUCUACUUUUUCGUGGGGGAUAACGUAGGGAAACUUACGCUAAUACCGCAUACGACCUACGGGUGAAAGCAGGGGAUCUUCGGACCUUGCGCGAUUGAAUGAGCCGAUGUCGGAUUAGUUAGUUGGCGGGGUAAAGGCCCACCAAGGCGACGAUCCGUAGCUGGUCUGAGAGGAUGAUCAGCCACACUGGAACUGAGACACGGUCCAGACUCCUACGGGAGGCAGCAGUGGGGAAUAUUGGACAAUGGGCGCAAGCCUGAUCCAGCCAUACCGCGUGGGUGAAGAAGGCCUUCGGGUUGUAAAGCCCUUUUGUUGGGAGAGAAAAGCAGCAGGUUAAUACCCCGCUGUUCUGACGGUACCCAAAGAAUAAGCACCGGCUAACUUCGUG